rnacentral:rRNA from 1 species
AACGCUGGCGGCGUGCCUAACACAUGCAAGUCGAGCGAUGAAGUUCNCUUCGGAGAAUGGAUUAGCGGCGGACGGGUGAGUAACACGUGGGUAACCUACCUCAUACAGGGGGAUAACGUAUAGAAAUGUACGCUAAUACCGCAUAAGCCUACAGAAUGGCAUCAUUCAGUAGGAAAAACUCCGGUGGUAUGAGAUGGGCCCGCGACUGAUUAGCUAGUUGGGGAGGUAACGGCUCACCAAGGCGACGAUCAGUAGCCGGUCUGAGAGGAUGGACGGCCACAUUGGGACUGAGACACGGUCCAGACUCCUACGGGAGGCAGCAGUGAGGAAUAUUGGUCAAUGGGCGGGAGCCUGAACCAGCCAAGUAGCGUGAAGGAUGACUGCCCUACGGGUUGUAAACUUCUUUUGUUUGGGAAUAAAAGACGCUACGUGUAGCGUUCUGCAUGUACCUUACGAAUAAGCAUCGGCUAAUUCCGUG